AUCCAACCCAUAUCCAAUAAUUAAGCCCUGCAUAUACAUACACUCUAAUACUCUAUUGUAUGUAUAGAUAGACAUUGAUCACAGGAACAAAAAAUUUUCAGACAUGGCUUACAAAGGUCUAGAUUGUAUCACCUUAUCAGACAUAGAAGCCACCGGAGUAACUUCACAACUUGCCCAUGAAAUUUACAACAAACUCAUCAAAAUCAUCCAAAUUUACGGCCCUGCCACUCCUGCAACAUGGCAGACCAUUUCUACAACCAUUCUUACACCCAAGUUACCUUUUUUACUUCAUCAGAUGAUGUUUUAUGGGUGCUACAAGGACUUUGGACCCGACCCACCUGCUUGGAUACCCGACCCGGAUGGUGCAAUAAUAACGAAUGUUGGGAAACUUCUUGAGAAACGUGGGGAGGAGUUUUUAGGAUCAAGAUAUAAAGAUCCUAUAUCAAGCUUCUCUGAGUUUCAGGAAUUUUCGGUCUCUAACCCGGAGGAUUAUUGGAAAACCGUUUUGGAAGAACUAGAUAUUUCAUUCUCAGUGCUGCCUCAACGUAUUUUGAAGGAGGAGCUUUGUACUGGAAGCGAGAUUUGUCACCCAGGAGGUCAAUGGCUUCCUGGAGCAUUUUUAAAUCCUGCAAAGAAUUGCCUGUGUUUAAAUAGUAACCGAACUUGGGAUGAUAUAAUGGUAGUAUGGCGUAAUGAAGGAAAUGAUGAAAUGCCAGUUAACAAGUUGACCCGUAGGGAAUUGUGCUCAGAAGUCUGGCUAGUUGCACACGCGCUGGAAACUCUUGAAUUGGAGAAAGGUUCUGCAAUUGCAAUUGAUAUGCCUAUGGAUGUUAAUUCUGUGGUGAUAUACCUGGCUAUAGUUCUGGCAGGCCAUGUAGUAGUGUCAAUAGCUGAUAGUUUUGCUUCUACUGAGAUAGCAACAAGGCUUAAGUUGUCCAAGGCGAAAGCAAUUUUUACUCAGGAUUUUAUUGUACGUGGUGAUAGGCGACUACCCUUGUACAGUAGAGUUAUUGAUGCUCAAUCGCCAACAGCAAUUGUUAUUCCAACAAAAGACUCCAGCUUUAGCACAAAGUUGCGCGAGGGUGACAUUUCAUGGCAUGAUUUUCUAGAACGGGUUCACAAAUUGAAAGAGGUUGAAUUUUUUGCUGUGGAAAGACCAGUUGAAUCUUUCACUAAUAUUCUAUUCUCCUCGGGAACUACAGGGGAGCCAAAGGCUAUUCCUUGGACUCUUGCAACACCUUUAAAAGCUGCUGCAGAUGGUUGGUGCCACAUGGAUAUUCGCAAAGGGGAUGUCGUUGCUUGGCCCACUAAUCUUGGUUGGAUGAUGGGUCCUUGGCUAGUCUAUGCUCCUCUGCUGAAUGGGGCUUCAAUAGCGUUAUAUAAUGGCGUUCCCCUGAGUUCUGGCUUUGCGAAGUUUGUUCAGGAUGCUGAAGUGACAAUGCUUGGUGUGAUUCCAAGUAUUGUAAGGACAUGGAAAACUACUAAUUGUACAGAUAGCUAUGAUUGGUCGGCCAUUCGUUGCUUUGGAUCCACUGGUGAAGCAUCAAACGUAGAUGAGUAUCUUUGGCUAAUGGGAAGAGCUAAUUACAAGCCUGUUAUCGAGUAUUGUGGUGGUACUGAGAUUGGAGGUGGAUUUGUAACUGGAUCGCUACUGCAGCGUCAAUCUCUAGCAGCCUUUAGCACACCUGCUAUGGGGUGUAGUCUCUUUAUUAUUGGCAAUGAUGGAAUUCCUAUACCACCAAAAGUUCCUGGAAUUGGUGAAUUGGCACUUUAUCCCUUCAUAUUCGGCUCAUCAAGCAUACUACUAAAUGGGAAUCACUAUAAUGUCUACUUUAAAGAUAUGCCUUCAUGGCAUGGAAAGAUGCUAAGAAGACAUGGGGACAUGUUUGAGCUUACUUCAAAUGGAUACUAUCAUGCGCAUGGUCGUGCAGAUGAUACAAUGAAUCUUGGUGGUAUCAAGGUAAGCUCGGUUGAGAUAGAGCGUAUUACUAAUGCGGUUGAUGACUCUGUCCAUGAGACAGCAGCCAUAGGGGUGCCACCACAGGGAGGUGGACCCGAGAGAUUGGUUAUUGCUGUUGUUUUUAAAGAUUCAAAUGUGUCCACACCGGAUUUAGACAAGUUGAGGGUAUCUUUGAAUUCCGCACUGCAGAAGAAAUUGAACCCACUGUUUAAGGUGUCUCAUAUUGUUCCCGUCUCAUCUCUUCCCAGAACAGCAACAAAUAAGGUUAUGAGACGAAUUUUGCGACAGCAGUUCACCAAAAUUGACCAAAACUCUAAGCUGUGAGCUUCAUUAAUCUCAAAACGUGUUUCAACUCCUUUUUAUGUUCAUAACAAGUAUAUAGUGGUACUUCUGUAGCUUAGUGAUCCAUUGAUUUGGAAUAUAUAGUAUAUAUGUAACUAUAGGUUACCAUCAUAGAUAUCGUAUAUAGAACCUUAGGAUAAUCUGUCAUUCGGUUUACUAUUAGGAAGAUACAAUCAAUAUUGAUAAUUGAAAUUGUACUUGUAUUUAUGAAUUUGAAUCUCAGUUGUAAUAAAUCAAGUAAAUCCAUGACUAUCCUGUUAGAGCAUCUCCAACCCUCUAAAAAAACCCUUAGUUUUAAAUGGAUAAAUGAUACCGUAAAUAAAAUUAUAAAGAACAUUUAAAAAAAUAUUGCAUUCCCCUUGUCUAAAAAUUUAGCCAACCCGGUGAUGUUGGUUAUAUAUAUCAAAGCCCAAGACACCCGUAGCAAGAUUCCAUUAUCUAUUAACAUAAUAAAAUAAUAUAUUGUAUUUAUAACAACUUGAAAUAAUAAUAACAUACUAUGUUUAAAAUAUAGCCAAUACAUCAGAGGACAAAACCUUAUGGUUUCAACAAAUUUACAAAUUUUACAUAAUCAAUAUUUUAUACUCCCUCCGUCGCUCCCAUUGUUUACUAAUGGUUGAGCGUGGAGAUUAAGAAAAUGUAUAAAGUAGUGGGAAAGAGAAAGAGAAGUGGGUAAAUUUGUGAGACCAAUUGAUAUUUAAUGUAUAAAGUGAGUAUAGCGGAGGAAAGUAGUGGAUGUAUUUAAUUUUAUAUUAUAAAUUUUCUAUUUUUGACAGGUUUUGAAAUGUAAAAAAUAGAAUGGAUAUCCUGAAAAAUGGUUGGGAUAGAGGGAAUAUUAUUUUAGCCAGCAUGCCCUUAUAUCAAAACUAAGUUUAAAAUUUAAAAAAAAAAAACAACUAAGUUUUGCAAAAAUAUUAAUCCCAAAUCUUAGUGAGUCAUCAAAGUAGGAUCUUGUACAUGUAGUUAAUAUAGAUGUAAACUUCAACUAUCAAUCAAUAUUUUUCAAUUAAAUCGAAACUAAUAUCAGGAGCUACAAGUAAAAUGGUAUCUCUAUAUUUUUUUAAGGAAAGGGUAUGUUAUCAUAAAGAUGAAUUUAGCAAUCUUGCUUUCUUGCACUUUUUGUUGGGAAUUAAUUGGCUCCAAGCAAUAGUUUAUUUAUAUGUACUCAUGUAAUAUUUCAUUAUUGAUUAAAGUUGAAAUGAAUAAGAUCUCAGGAUUUAUUGUGUGUUUUUUGCCAAUUCUUUGUGGAGAUAGGUAUUUACCCUUGUUUUUAACAUGUCCUGCAUAUGAUAUAAUAUGAUAUCAGAGUCACCGUUCCUCCCUCCAAACACUGCCUUCAUACAUACUCCCACAACCUUCACCUUUACCAAACACGUUGCCUAAUGCCUACAAUUAAAAAAAGAAAUGACAGCCACCAGAAACCUCCGACCAAAGCCUAGAGCCAUCACUAGCAAAGUGCCUUGUUCCUGCAGUUUUAAAAUAUACACAACAGCCAGUCCCUGAUUAACAUGAGAUGAUUAGCCAGGUGACUUGUAGCUUGAGACAAAAACCUUUACCCGAAAUUACCAAUCAACUCCUUCCUCAAUUUGUUGAAACUUGCAUUAUAUCAAUAAAGAUUGCCGGACAUUUUUUUAACAAUAGUAGGGUUUAAACCAGGUCGAUACAUGCUAACCAAGGUACUUUUAUCAUGAUUAAAAUCUAAACGAGCGGACAAGUGACAAAACUUACUAGUAUAAAUAAUCUAUACCAAAUGUGAUGACCUAAAUCUCCAAGACAAUUUUCCAACUCAUCACAUGCCUUUUGCUCUAUACAAUCAUCUAAUUAUAACCAUGAGGAGGGCACUCUUCUUCCCCUUUAACAAAUGUUAGGGGUGAUCAAAAAACCGCCCAAACCGCACCGCAAAACGCGGUUUUAAAACUUUGUGGUGCGGUUGCGGUUUGAAUUUUUCCCAAACCGCGCGGUGUGGUGCGGGUUGCGGUUUGACAUAUUACUAGUGCGGUUCAAACUGCACCGCACCACAAUGUUGUAAUAUAUAUAAAUAUAUUAGUGAUUGUCGAAUAAAAUUUUAUUAUAUACAUAUAUAUUAUUUAUAAUUAUGUUAUAUAUAUUUGUUAAAUCUUUUCAAAUAAUAGUUAAUUAUUAUUUUAUUAAUCUCAAGUUACUAUUAUACCAUAUUUGUAUGAAAUGAUUAUAUUAUUAUAAUAUGUCUCUUAGUACUCAUAUUUAUUAUUAUAUUUACAUUUUUGUUUGCAUUAUUUUAGUAGUUGUAACUCUGAAAUGAUAAAUAUCAUAUAAAUUCAUUACAAGAAAAGAUUUUAGUUAUUGUAUAUUUAAAGGGAAUUGAUAAAUAAGCUCCAAAAUUUACUAUUUAAGCUCCAAUUCAAUUUUUUUAGUUAUCCAAGUCUCACUAUCACCACUAAUAUGGAUGAAAUAUGUGGAGAAGGCAUGGGUAAAUAUGAUAUAAAAUUUGGAUUUGGAGCUUAAAUAGUAAACUGUGGAGCUUAUUUAUCAAUUCUCUAUUUAAAUUUUAUUUCUAACUUCAACUAAAAAUAUUUAUUCCUAAGCAUGCAAACCGCACAAACCGCACCGUACUGCAUUUUUGCGGUGCGGUUUACGCGGUUUUUAUGCUAGCGCUGUGCGGUUGCGGUUUGAGUUUUCAACCAAACCGCAUACGCUGUUUGGUAUGCGGUUUUAAAGAAAAACCACACCGCGAUCACCCCUAACAAAUGUUACCCUUUUAACCGAGUUCGGUGUUUUGGGUUAAAGACAUUUAAAAGUAUUUAUGACAUGUCUCUUGGCAGUUAAAGCACAUUUGACCCCAAUCAUAGUGAAUUUUUUUGAUUUUGAUUCCAAGCACCACAAACUUCAGCCACCACCAUUAGCCGCCAGUAUCCACACUAGCAGCUAGUAGCCAUCUUCCACCAUGACAACCCUUGAGUUUAGUUGCUACAUGCAUUAUUUUCAACAUGUUAAUACAUUAAAGUACAAAUUCCAAAAUACUAAGGACUUUUGACUUUUGGAAUUUGAACUUAAAGCACAAGGAGAAGCUUUUCAAUGAACCUUUGGCACGAUAAUAGACUAAUUCAGUAGUCGGUAAUAGUUAAAACUACUAAAGGAAGAAGAAAGCGGUACUUUGUCAGAAUGACUACAAUAGCUUGGAAGCAGAGAUCAGGAAUAAGUACAAAUGAAAAGAGGCUAGGUGAAGGAUAACUAGAGGCAGAAGGGAAUGAGGGAGAUAAGAAAAGAUAAUAUAAUAGUGGAAGAAGAUAAAUCUUGGAUGGGUGGUGUAAAAUAAAAUGACUUUACUCACCUAAAAUAAAAUGAAUAAUGUGACAUAUUUGAUGGAAUGUAGUAAAGUUGAUAAUAUAUAUGUUUCAUAAAUCUCAACCAGUGACCUUAGAGCUCAUUCCAUUCUUCCACCCAAACACAACUUAAUAGUCUUACAUUGUACAAGAGUCUCCGUCCCUCCCUUUAGCCAUAAAAAUUGUCCCAGUCAUUCUGUUCAUACUUCUGCACUUGUUAUUUUGUUAUGUAUGUUGGCAUAUUACCUAUUUAUAUCUUCGAUCUCCUUGAGUUUAGUUGCUAAAAUCCCUAGAUUGAUAAAUAGUUCCAUAUGAUUGUCCUUUGUAACCUCAGCUGUUCCUAAAAUCAGUUCAGAUAUAAACAAGGAGCAUAGCACCCGCUGUGAUGCAGCAAGAUGGAAAACCACUAAUUAAUGAUGAAGAAGCAGAUGAUAGUGAAUAAUGUACGAAAAAAGAAGAUGAAGGCUGCAGAGGAGAAGAAGAUGAAGAAGCAAGAAGUACUGUUGACGAAAUAAUUUGAUUCUCAAUUGCAGUCUGGUAAUCAGUUUUAAAGUACUGUUCCGCGGACACAGGGAGAGGCAUUUAAAACAAUUUUAUAUACAUUUUUUUUUGAAAAUUCAGCGGGGUUGAGAGCUUUUUCCUUUGUGAGGAUAUAGUCACAUCUAUGUUUUAACAGACAAUCGAGGCUCGUUAGUGGUAUAACAACUUCUGCAGUUCAUUUCAA